rnacentral:rRNA from 1 species
AUUGAACGCUGGCGGCAGGCCUAACACAUGCAAGUCGGACGGUAGCACAGAGGAGCUUGCUCCUCGGGUGACGAGUGGCGGACGGGUGAGUAAUGUCUGGGGAUCUGCCCGAUAGAGGGGGAUAACCACUGGAAACGGUGGCUAAUACCGCAUAACGUCGCAAGACCAAAGAGGGGGACCUUCGGGCCUCUCACUAUCGGAUGAACCCAGAUGGGAUUAGCUAGUAGGCGGGGUAACGGCCCACCUAGGCGACGAUCCCUAGCUGGUCUGAGAGGAUGACCAGCCACACUGGAACUGAGACACGGUCCAGACUCCUACGGGAGGCAGCAGUGGGGAAUAUUGCACAAUGGGCGCAAGCCUGGUGCAGCCAUGCCGCGUGUAUGAAGAAGGCCUUCGGGUUGUAAAGUACUUUCAGCGGGGAGGAAGGCGAUGUGGUUAAUAACCGCGUCGAUUGACGUUACCCGCAGAAGAAGCACCGGCUAACUCCGUGCCAGCAGCCGCAGUAA